GACGAACCGUCCAAACGUUGUUCGGAAUCACUGGGCUUAAAGGGCGCGUAGGCGGUCGUGACAAGUCACUUGUGAAAUCUCCGGGCUUAACUCGGAACGGUCAAGUGAUACUGUCGGACUAGAGUACAGAAGGGGCAACUGGAAUUCUCGGUGUAGCGGUGAAAUGCGUAGAUAUCGAGAGGAACACCUGCGGCGAAGGCGGCUCACUGGCCCGAUACUGACGCUGAGGCACGAAAGCGUGGGGAGCAAACAGG
rnacentral:rRNA from 1 species